rnacentral:rRNA from 1 species
GGGGAAUUUUCCGCAAUGGGCGAAAGCCUGACGGAGCAAUACCGCGUGAGGGAGGAAGGCUCUUGGGUUGUAAACCUCUUUUCUCAGGGAAGAACAGAAUGACGGUACCUGAGGAAUAAGCAUCGGCUAACUCCGUGCCAGCAGCCGCGGUAAUACGGAGGAUGCAAGCGUUAUCCGGAAUGAUUGGGCGUAAAGGGUCCGCAGGUGGCAUUGUAAGUCUGCUGUUAAAGAGUUUGGCUCAACCAAAUAAGAGCAGUGGAAACUACAAAGCUAGAGUGUGGUCGGGGCAGAGGGAAUUCCUGGUGUAGCGGUGAAAUGCGUAGAUAUCAGGAAGAAC